rnacentral:misc_RNA from 1 species
UGAUUUAUGAGGAAAGUUUCCUCAAUUUAUGGCACUAGGCAUCAAGGUGAAAUUCUGAAUUUACUAGAGAAAAUAGUUUUCGUGGCAGGUUAGUGAUCAUACUUAUGUAUGUUAGCUGCAGCUGGAAUGACAAUUUAUUCAAUAUAAAACUUGCCUCAUUGUUACUUAAAAUCUCCAUCUGACAUGCUACUAUCUCUUUCAUAAAUUUCUUCUCGGUGUAGAUUUUUUUGCAC